rnacentral:rRNA from 1 species
GACGUAGGGCGCGAGCGUUGUCCGGAUUUAUUGGGCGUAAAGAGCUCGUAGGCGGCUUGUUGCGUCGACCGUGAAAACCCGGGGCUCAACUUCGGGCUUGCGGUCGAUACGGGCGGGCUAGAGUUCGGUAGGGGAGACUGGAAUUCCUGGUGUAGCGGUGAAAUGCGCAGAUAUCAGGAGGAACACCGGUGGCGAAGGCGGGUCUCUGGGCCGAUACUGACGCUGAGGAGCGAAAGCGUGGGGAGCGAACGGG